rnacentral:pre_miRNA from 1 species
UGCUCAGUAGUCAGUGUAGGAUCUGUCCGACAGUCUCACUAACAGCUACAUCUGAUUACUGGGUCAC